rnacentral:rRNA from 1 species
UAAGACGAACCACCCAAACGUUAUUCGGAAUUACUGGGCUUAAAGCGUGCGUAGGCGGCCUUGAAAGUUAGGUGUGAAAUCCCACAGCUCAACUGUGGAACUGCGCUUAAAACUACAAGGCUAGAGGAAUAUAGAGGUGAGCAGAACAGAUGGUGGAGCGGUGAAAUGCGUUGAUAUCAUCUGGAAUACCGGAGGCGAAGGCGGCUCACUGGGUAUUUUCUGACGCUGAGGUACGAAAGCUAGGGGAGCGAACGGG